UAAGGGGUGACCUGCGGAGGGAUCAUUACCGAGUUUACAACUCCCAAACCCCUGUGAACAUACCAUUUGUUGCCUCGGCGGUGCCUGCUUCGGCAGCCCGCCAGAGGACCCAAACCCUUGAUUUUAUACAGUAUCUUCUGAGUAAAUGAUUAAAUAAAUCAAAACUUUCAACAACGGAUCUCUUGGUUCUGGCAUCGAUGAAGAACGCAGCGAAAUGCGAUAAGUAAUGUGAAUUGCAGAAUUCAGUGAAUCAUCGAAUCUUUGAACGCACAUUGCGCCCGCCAGUAUUCUGGCGGGCAUGCCUGUUCGAGCGUCAUUUCAACCCUCAAGCCCCCGGGCUUGGUGUUGGAGAUCGGCGUGCCCUCCGGGGCGCGCCGGCUCCCAAAUAUAGUGGCGGUCUCGCUGUAGCUUCCUCUGCGUAGUAGCACACCUCGCACUGGGAAACAGCGUGGCCACGCCGUUAAACCCCCCACUUCUGAAAGGUUGACCUCGGAUCAGGUAGGAAUACCCGCUGAACUUAAGCAUAUCAUAAGGCCGGAGGAA
rnacentral:rRNA from 1 species